rnacentral:rRNA from 1 species
UACGGGGGGGGCAAGCGUUGUUCGGAAUUACUGGGCGUAAAGGGGACGUAGGCGGCCAACUAAGUCCGACGUGAAAUCCCAAGGCUUAACCUUGGAACUGCGUCGGAUACUGGAUGGCUUGAAUUCGGGAGAGGGAUGCAGAAUUCCAGGUGUAGCGGUGAAAUGCGUAGAUAUCGGGAGGAACACCGGUGGCGAAGGCGGAUCUCUGGGCCUUACCUGACGCUGAGGCGCGAAAGCUAGGGGAGCGAACAGG